rnacentral:misc_RNA from 1 species
AACGCAAAUUGCGCUCUUGGGUAGCCCUAGGAGCACGCCUCUCUCAGUAUCGGUUCAAACACAACUCAGCAGCGUAUUGUCAUGAUACGUGUUGGCUGGAUAAUGAGAGUCUGUAUGUUCAGUACAGUCUCUUGAAAUAUAUUGAGUGAAGUCUAUCACAGUUCACACUAUCGACCUCGAGUCGAAAGCCGGUCUCUGACUGGUUGUGUUGAGAAGUGACGUGAAUAAUCGGAGAGAUUUAUCUCUUCAUAACAUUUACGUGUAACGUUAUCAACACAACUAUACCAAAGGUCUAGGAUGGCUGUAUGAGCAUAGAUGACUUCAUGUCUAACGCAACUGAAUGGUUGCAAACUUAUUGAAGAUACUUGUAUCAACAAUCUGACAUUUGAUCUGAGAUGAAGCGAGACAACCCCCUGAAUUUAA